rnacentral:rRNA from 1 species
CCUACGGGUGGCAGCAGUGGGGAAUAUUGCACAAUGGGGGGAACCCUGAUGCAGCAAUGCCGCGUGGGUGAAGAAGCACUCCGGUGCGUAAAGCCCUGUCAGCAGGGAAGAAAAUGACAGUACCUGGACAAGAAGCCCCGGCUAACUACGUGCCAGCAGCCGCGGUAAUACGUAGGGGGCAAGCGUUAUCCGGAUUUACUGGGUGUAAAGGGAGCGCAGGCGGCGUGGCAAGUCAGAUGUGAAAACCCGGGGCCCAACCCCGGGAGUGCAUUUGAAACUGCCAUGCUGGAGUGCCGGAGAGGUAAGCGGAAUUCCUAGUGUAGCGGUGAAAUGCGUAGAUAUUAGGAGGAACACCAGUGGCGAAGGCAGCUUACCAAGCUACUUCUGACGUUGAGGCACGAAAGCGUGGGGAGCAAACAGGAUUAGAUACCCCGGUAGUC